rnacentral:rRNA from 1 species
GAUGAACGCUGACAGAAUGCUUAACACAUGCAAGUCAACUGUGGCGGACGGGUGAGUAACGCGUAAAGAACUUACCUAACAGCUAGGGACAACAUUUGGAAACGAAUGCUAAUACCUAAUACUGUGGGAGAGCUUUGCGUCCCAUUAGCUAGUUGGGGAGGUAACGGCUCACCAAGGCGAGGAUGGGUAGCCGGCCUGAGAGGGUGAUCGGCCACAAGGGGACUUGGGCACGGCCCGUACUCCUACGGGCGCAAGCAGUGGGGAAUAUAGGACAACGGACCAAAGUCUGAUCCAGCAAUUCGGUGUGCAAGAUGAAGUUUUCGGAAUGUAAAGUGCUUUCAGUUGGGAAGCGGUACCAACAGAAGAAGUGACGGCUAAAUACGUGCCAGCAGCCGCGGUAAUAC